GCGAGAAUGGCGGAAUUGGUAGACGCGCUAGGUUCAGGGUCUAGUGUCCGUAAGGAUAUGGGGGUUCAAGUCCCCCUUCUCGCACCG
rnacentral:tRNA from 1 species